AGUGAACGCUGGCGGUAGGCCUAACACAUGCAAGUCGAACGGCAGCACAGUAAGAGCUUGCUCUUACGGGUGGCGAGUGGCGGACGGGUGAGGAAUACAUCGGAAUCUACUUUUUCGUGGGGGAUAACGUAGGGAAACUUACGCUAAUACCGCAUACGACCUACGGGUGAAAGCAGGGGAUCUUCGGACCUUGCGCGAUUGAAUGAGCCGAUGUCGGAUUAGCUAGUUGGCGGGGUAAAGGCCCACCAAGGCGACGAUCCGUAGCUGGUCUGAGAGGAUGAUCAGUCACACUGGAACUGAGACACGGUCCAGACUCCUACGGGAGGCAGCAGUGGGGAAUAUUGGACAAUGGGCGCAAGCCUGAUCCAGCCAUACCGCGUGGGUGAAGAAGGCCUUCGGGUUAUAAAGCCCUUUUGUUGGGAAAGAAAAGCAGCAGGUUAAUACCCCGCUGUUCUGACGGUACCCAAAGAAUAAGCACCGGCUAACUUCGUG
rnacentral:rRNA from 1 species